rnacentral:snoRNA from 1 species
UCGUGAUGAGAAACACAGCUGGCACCAGGCUGAGAAGACUUGUACUCUUUGCAUGCGGAACAGCUUUCCAAGGCUUAUAAGCCGAUCAUCUGAA